GAAGAAUCCCUCUUUUCCCCUUGCUCCUCCAGCAGCACAAUGUGAUCCACUGGCAAGGAGGGAUGCCAAUAAGGUGUCCAAUAAGGUUUUGCUUGUAUUUCCACAGAAAAUAAAAAGCUAUGGAUUCCUUCCAGACUAACAUGGUUUGAUCAAGCAAGACCCCCUGAAGCUGAGACGAUAUAGCCUUACAGACUACAAAAACAAGGACUUGGUCAGGUUUCUAUGUUUUAUCAUGAUCCCCAUGGUAUAUGAACAUUGCCCCCAAUCAGCAGGAAGCAGUUUAGAAGGAACGAUGCCCAAAUCCCCAAAUAUUGUUUAUAAAUGUUUGUUUUCAUUUAAAUGGGGUUAGUUAUAAGUGAUAAUGAGCAUAGUCAAUCUCUUUUUAAAGAAAGAAAAGGGGAACAUGAUAUAGGAAUGAAUACUUUGCAUUGGUAUAGAUUUUCAUUUAUUGAUACAACUUUAAAGUCAAUUUUGUGAUAUGUAUAUGUCUCCUCUUGUUUAGGUAUUGUGUUUAUAUAGAUCUUUUACCUAUAAUAGUCAGAACUUACAAUUAGGUUAGUUAGGUUUUCUAGAUAUACAGAGAUGUAUUUGAGAUGGAUAGAUAUUCUUCAAAACUUUCAAAGACCCACGGAAAUAUGGCGUUUAAACGGUUUAGGGUUUUUCUUGGCAGUAAGACACAACUGCUCCUGGCACACCAAUUACAUCAGAAAGGAGGAUGGGCAUCAAAGAAACUCGUUAUGGAGUUUGCUUUCAACAUGGCAAGAUUAGCCAAUUGGACAACAAACUGCUCUUUGUUGCUGUAUAAACUGGACAUCCAGGACCCACAAGAAAGUGACUGCUGAACUUACAAAACAAGACAGUACUAAAGGGUUCCUGUUGAAAUCAAGAAGUGUGCCAGAUACACUGUGGCCUAUGGGCUGCAGAUAGAUGCCCCAACGUUACAGAGGAACUUUGGGUGACUGUCCAGGUAGCAAGAUGUCUCUGUCAAUCCUAGAGAUUAUAUAUUAUUUAUAUAUCCUUCUGUGGUCUUUGAUAGAAUUGAAGACAGUUAUGGUUAUAGUUUUCUUCUGUUAUUAUAAAAGAUAAGUUAUCCUUUUUAUUUAGACAGAAAAGAGGAGAUGAUGGGGAAUGUUCUGUGUAUGUUUAUCUUAUUGACUGUUAUGUAAAAUACUGUUUGGCCAAUGAGACAGCAAAUUAGAUGGGACUAGGAGUCAAAAAGGAUUCUGGGAAAUGUAGUAGAGAAGUGGUGAUCCAGGCAGGAAGUGACAUAGCAAGGAGAUUCAUAUUUAAGUGAAGGAGAAACAGGAAGGCCCUCUUUUCCCCUUGUUCCUCCAGCAGCAUGAUGUAAUCCACCAGCAAAGAGGGACACCAACAAGGCGUCCGAUAAGAUAAGUCUUAUAAAAUAAAUAGAUUUAUGAUAAUUGAGACUGAACUAACAGAUGAGUAUUGACCAAGCAUCUUUGAACCUAAUACAAGAUUCUGUGUAUUCAUUUGGGCCUAACUCAGGCAGCCGGCUGGUGUAAAGCUCACAUGUGGCGGUGGGUCUCAGGCAGCUUUUGGCGGAAACAUUAUCGUAACAAUCUUGUUUCUAAUUUAAAUAAAAAAUGGGAAAAAAACUUCUGCACUAAAUUAGAAAAUUUAAAGGAAAUGGAUAAUUUCUACACCAGAGUUAACCAAAAUGAAAUAAAUAACCAGAUCAACAAUCAGCAAUGAUAUUUUUCUUAUAUAAUUAAUGGGCCAUAUUUUACUUAAGCAUAUUUUUCAUUAGAAUAAAUUUAAAACUUAUUCUCAAAAAAUUUGUAAAUUUUAUUCAUAUUCUUUUCCUCCCCCAAUUGCUACUAGACUCUCAUCUACACACCUAACUCCAUGUUUUUUUUCUCUCAAAUUAGAAAAGGCAGGAGAGAGAGAGAGAGAGAGAGAGAGAGAGAGAGAGAGAAUAAAUAAAAUGUGGAGAUCAUUUUAUGACAGUCAAUUACUCCAUAACAUAAGACAUUUUCCCUGUGUUAUGGUUUAUUAACCCAGUAUUACUGCACUUGUAUGGGCAAUUCUUUAUUAUUUAUUUUUUAGUUAAAGACCUGGAUCUCCACUUGGUUUACCCCUCUAAUAACAAUUACAUGGGCAUAAGCACAAGUCUUCAAUAUUAGGAGGUAUAUAUCACACAUACAAACAUAUAAUAUGUCCAUGUAAGUGCAUAUAAAUUCCAAUUUAGUCAGGAUAUACUAAAUAAUUUAUUGUAUCAAUGGCAUUCAAUAAAUUUAAAAUUGAGAUCAUAUGUAUGAAUUUGUGACCCAUGAGAAAAGGACAUCAUUUGUGAAAUAAAGAAGGAAGGAAGGAAAUAAGGAAGGAAGGAAAUAAGGAAGGAAGGAAACAAAUUGAAGGGAAAAAAGAGAAGAAAAGAAAAUUUGUAUUCAGGUAAUAGUGCCAGGAUUUCUGCAGGAGGUGUUGCAGGAUAAUGAGCAACAUUUCAGCUCAUGUAGUUUUUCUGCUGAUACUACCAGGACUAUAAUUGUUCUCAGCAUGU
ensembl:lncRNA